CAACAAAUAUCACUUUUAAUAGCAUAAUAUCAUAGCAUUUUUUUAGAAAUGCUAUAAAAGGUAAGCAAUAAUAGCGUUUUCCUAUUGAACACCAAGGAAACACACAGAAGGCAGAAAAACAGCGUUUCAUUUAAUCCACCUACAGCGUUCCGCCCAAAUAAGAGGCACAAAAAUGGCUUCGCGCCCCCAAAUCGCAUACCCCUUCAAAAUUUUCACACGAUUUCACUCUGUCGACGAACUCGCGCGAGUGUUCUCCAGUCAUGCGAACUGUCUAUUCUAGGGUUUUGAUCGUGAGUUGAAGUUGGAGAAGAAUCAAAGAUCUAUUCAGAACUUUUGCACCGAUUGAAGCAAAGAGGUCAUUGUUCGGAUUGUUCGGAGAGUCUUCACCAGACACCAUUUUGGGACUCCUGUAUCUCUCUUCAUGGUCACAGUUGCAGGUUUGCUGAGCCCUAAUAUCUAAGCAGGAUUGCAUAGUCUCUUUCUAAUUUAACAGAAUGUGUAGGAAUCAGCCAGCACUAGCUUUUUGGUAUUUGUGACUUGUGUUAACAAUCAACAAUGUUACAGAAGAAUGGGCCUGAAGUACUGAGCAAAUUUAUUGGUGAAACCAAGAAGAAUAUUAGAGAUUAUUUGCUGAUGUUGAACAAGAUCAGAGAACUCAAGGUAAAAGGCUUAUGCAAAAGUUACUCCAAGCAUUCCCUCUGGUGCCUAAUGCUUUCAUAAUUCUGCUUUUCAGGGGAUCAAAGUGACUUACAUGUUAUCAUAUGUGAUGAAAUUGAUGCGAUUUGUAAGUCAAGAGGUUCAACUAGAGACGGUAUUGGAGUUCAUGGUAGCAUUGUUAACCAACUACUAAGAAAGGAUGCCAUUUCAUUGUGUUUCUCAAGUAGCAACUAGGGUGACAAAUGAUUCUGAGAAAGACGAGUAGUUUGUUGUUAAAGUUCUUCAUUUUGGUAGAGAAUCUAGAAAUUUCAGGAAGUACUAGCUGCCUAUGUCACAGAUCAUACCUUUCCCAAAAUGGAUGAAAUCUCACGGGUUCAAGAUUUCCGUCCCGGAGAAAAGGUUUUAGCUCUGUAUCUAAAUACAACUGCAUUAUAUGACGAUGGAUCUUUGCCUCAAAGGGUUGUACCAUUUCACAGGGUAGUUGGUCGUCCCGGUGGACAUAGUCGAUAGUUUUUCCUUCUCCUCCCAUAGAUGUGAAUAGGUAAAUAUAUGCAGUUCAUACA